UCCUCGAGAAAAACCCUAAUCUUUUGUCAAGGAGAGAAAAAAAGAAAAAAAGAAAAAAAGAAAAACCCCUUAUUUUCACUUCAUUCUUUUCCGACGGCGACUACGACGGCGAGUACCAACGACAGCAAUCUUAAAGAAGGGAAUCAUGGUGCUGACUCAGUACGGCAUCAAAUAUGCCGUCCACAUUAUCACUGCACACUUCGGAAAUCUCGUCACUAAAGUGUGCGAAACCCUGCUCCGAAAGGGACCUCUGACGCAGACUUCUUAUACGAUUCACAGAACUUACCUCAUCACUGGUCAACAACUCCCUUCUUAUUCUCAUCCAACAUAAUUAUGUCCAAGCCUUCACUGCAGUGGCAUAAGUGUAGAAAACUUCUCGAGGGUCUGCUGCAGAAUGGCAGGCUUUCCAUGGAACAAAUGGUUGAAAGAGCCCAGUCAAGUAAACAUGCAGGCAA